UUUCCUUUACUCACACCA
rnacentral:snRNA from 1 species